CCCCCAGUAGCUCAGAUAGUUAGAGCGCCUCCAUUUACUUGGAGGAGGUCGUAGGCGCAAUCCCUACCUGGGUAA
rnacentral:tRNA from 3 species